GGGGAUGUGGUCUAGUGGUAUGACGUUUCCUUAGCAUGUAAUGAAUUCAGUUUCUGAAGCAUGGAAAAGGUUCUGGGUUCGAUUCCCAGCCUCUCCA